GGUAGCCGGCCUGAGAGGGCGACCGGCCACACUGGGACUGAGACACGGCCCAGACUCCUACGGGAGGCAGCAGUGGGGAAUAUUGGGCAAUGGAGGRAACUCUGACCCAGCGACGCCGCGUGCGGGAUGAAGGCCUUCGGGUUGUAAACCGCUUUCAGCAAGGAAGAAGCGAAAGUGACGGUACNUGCAGAAGAAGCACCGGCUAACUAUGUGCCAGCAGCCGCGGUAAUACAUAGGGUGCAAGCGUUGUCCGGAAUUAUUGGGCGUAAAGAGCUCGUAGGUGGUUCGUCACGUCGGAUGUGAAAAUCUGGGGCUUAACCCCAGACCUGCAUUCGAUACGGGCGANCUAGAGUGUGGUAGGGGA
rnacentral:rRNA from 1 species